rnacentral:rRNA from 1 species
CAAGUCGAACGCACUCUCGUUUAGAUUGAAGGAGCUUGCUCUGAUUGAUAACAUUUGAGUGAGUGGCGGACGGGUGAGUAACACGUGGGUAACCUGCCCUAAAGUGGGGGAUAACAUUUGGAAACAGAUGCUAAUACCGCAUAAAACCUAACACCGCAUGGUGUAGGGUUGAAAGAUGGUUUCGGCUAUCACUUUAGGAUGGACCCGCGGUGCAUUAGUUAGUUGGUGAGGUAAAGGCUCACCAAGACCGUGAUGCAUAGCCGACCUGAGAGGGUAAUCGGCCACACUGGGACUGAGACACGGCCCAGACUCCUACGGGAGGCAGCAGUAGGGAAUCUUCCACAAUGGACGAAAGUCUGAUGGAGCAACGCCGCGUGAGUGAAGAAGGUUUUCGGAUCGUAAAACUCUGUUGUUGGAGAAGAAUGUAUCUGAUAGUAACUGAUCAGGUAGUGACGGUAUCCAACCAGAAAGCCACGGCUAACUACGUG